rnacentral:rRNA from 1 species
GACGAACGCUGGCGGCGUGCCUAAUACAUGCAAGUAGAACGCACAGUUUAUACCGUAGCUUGCUACACCAUAGACUGUGAGUUGCGAACGGGUGAGUAACGCGUAGGUAACCUGCCUGGUAGCGGGGGAUAACUAUUGGAAACGAUAGCUAAUACCGCAUAAUAUUGAUUAUUGCAUGAUAAUUAAUUGAAAGGUGCAAUUGCACCACUACCAGAUGGACCUGCGUUGUAUUAGCUAGUAGGUGAGGUAACGGCUCACCUAGGCGACGAUACAUAGCCGACCUGAGAGGGUGAUCGGCCACACUGGGACCGAGACACGGCCCAGACUCCUACGGGAGGCAGCAGUAGGGAAUCUUCGGCAAUGGACGAAAGUCUGACCGAGCAACGCCGCGUGAGUGAAGAAGGUUUUCGGAUCGUAAAGCUCUGUUGUAAGAGAAGAACGGGUGUGAGAGUGGAAAGUUCACACUGUGACGGUAUCUUACCAGAAAGGGACGGCUAACUACGUG